rnacentral:rRNA from 1 species
AUGAUUUUCAAAUCUUUUUUAUUUAGUAGUCUAAGUUUCUCGAUGAGGAUAAUUAAUUCGGUCAUUGUGGUCGGACUCUAUUAUGGAUUUCUGACUACAUUCUCCAUAGGGAAGAAGGAGAUAUUCGCGACUACCGGCGAUUUCAUUAUGGGGAAGCUCAUGAUCUUCAUAUCGAUCUAUUAUCCAGCUCUGUAUCUAUUCUUUAAAUCAAAAAACAUGCCCACAUGCUUAGAGAGAGAGGUGUUGAUAAAAACAAAAUACGGACAUAGAAGCAUCAUGCAUAUUAUUAUAACAGCAAGGAAUUUAAACAUAAAGUUUUUAUCACAUAAAUUUUAUCAUAUAACCUUUAUCAUAUACCUUCUCAUGAAAAAGUAA